ACUCUAGUCUCUGGGCGGGGGGAGGUGGGAAGGGAGAAGGCAUUUCUUUUGUUCUACAUUGUGCCAGGCACUGUGCUCAAUGCUUUACAUAUAACUAGUUUGAAUCUCAAAGCAACCCUGGGAGGUAGAUGCCAUUAUUAUCCUCAUUUUGCAGAAGAUAAAACUGAGGCAGGCGGAGGUUAAGAGAUUUGUCUCUGUUGAUAGAGCUAGGAAGCUCUGAAGUUGGAUUUGAAUUGGUGUUCUUGAAAGAAAAGCGCAAGGCGAGGUUGGUCCUUGGGCACACUCCUUAGUCUGGAUUGUGGUGGAAGAGAACCCUGACCUGCAUGAAGAGCCAGUCACGCCCGUCUGGCCGCGCUCACUGUGGCCUCAGUUCUCCUCUUAUCCCUCAGCUUUACCUGUCUAUAGGAGUCUCGGACUUGGAAGAAGUGGUGUGAGUCAGAAGGCUAAGGCAAUCAGUGGCUACAAGUGGAAUUUCCCCCUUUUGGUACUGAAGAUAUGUAUCAAACUCCUGAAGUCCACUGAUGAUCCUUAGCAAGCACAUCUCCUUAUGUGAAAAAGAGAAAACUUACGGUUACCAAUAGGAAAAAAAUAUUAUCUAGAAAUAAUUAAAAUUGAUAUUUUAAA